UCCCUGGUGGUUCAGUGCCUAAGACUCUGCGUUCCCAAAGCAAGGGGUCUGGGUGCAAUCCCUGGCCAGGGAA
rnacentral:tRNA from 1 species